AGUGAACGCUGGCGGUAGGCCUAACACAUGCAAGUCGAACGGCAGCACAGGAGAGCUUGCUCUCUGGGUGGCGAGUGGCGGACGGGUGAGGAAUACAUCGGAAUCUACUCUGUCGUGGGGGAUAACGUAGGGAAACUUACGCUAAUACCGCAUACGACCUACGGGUGAAAGCAGGGGACCUUCGGGCCUUGCGCGAUUGAAUGAGCCGAUGUCGGAUUAGCUAGUUGGCGGGGUAAAGGCCCACCAAGGCGACGAUCCGUAGCUGGUCUGAGGGGAUGAUCAGCCACACUGGAACUGAGAAACGGUCCAGACUCCUACGGGAGGCAGCAGUGGGGAAUAUUGGACAAUGGGCGCAAGCCAGAUCCAGCCAUACCGCGUGGGUGAAGAAGGCCUUCGGGUUGUAAAGCCCUUUUGUUGGGAAAGAAAUCCAGCUGGCUAAUACCCGGUUGGGAUGACGGUACCCAAAGAAUAAGCACCGGCUAACUUCGUGCCAGCAGCCGCCGUAA
rnacentral:rRNA from 1 species